rnacentral:rRNA from 1 species
GAUGAACGCUAGCGGGAGGCCUAACACAUGCAAGCCGAGCGGUAUUGUUUCUUCGGAAAUGAGAGAGCGGCGUACGGGUGCGUAACACGUGUGCAACCUGCCUUUAUCUGGGGGAUAGCCUUUCGAAAGGAAGAUUAAUACUCCAUAAUAUAUUGAACGGCAUCGUUUAAUAUUGAAAGCUCCGGCGGAUAGAGAUGGGCACGCGCAAGAUUAGCUAGUUGGUGAGGUAACGGCUCACCAAGGCGAUGAUCUUUAGGGGGCCUGAGAGGGUGAUCUCCCACACUGGUACUGAGACACGGACCAGACUCCUACGGGAGGCAGCAGUGAGGAAUAUUGGUCAAUGGGUGCAAGCCUGAACCAGCCAUCCCGCGUGAAGGACGACUGCCCUAUGGGUUGUAAACUUCUUUUGUAUAGGGAUAAACCUACCCUCGAGAGGGUAGCUGAAGGUACUAUACGAAUAAGCACCGGCUAACUCCGUG